rnacentral:miRNA from 1 species
UUCCCACAUCAUUCUAACAUUCAUUAAUUUUGCAAUAUUUCUGAAUAUUGCAAAAUUAAUGAAUGUUAGAAUGAUGUGGGAU